CUUUGUUUCUAUUUUUGGGUAUUAGAAAAAUAUACAUAUGAACCUUAAAGACCUGAAAACAAUACUAGGUAACUAAUGCCAUCAUAACGUCAAAUAUAUGCACAAGCAAAAGCUUCUUUUAUGAGUUAAACUCCAGAGUGAUCACCAGGCAAACUUCAACAUGAAAGAUACGCCAAGUAUGAAAUGGAACAGAUAUGAAAUUUGAUGUUGCAUUAUUUAAGAUGUAAGAAAGGACUAUGAAGGAAUGCACAUCCAUAAAGACCUAAAAGUAGCUCAGGCUGAGAUUUUGAAUUGGGUAGUGCCAAAAGGAAUACAGUCUCGCACUUGGCAAAAGGAGAUCAUGCCAACAAGAUUUAUCUUACUUGGAUCCAGGAAUCAGUCUACCAGACACACGACUGUUUUGCUUCUUGGGAAUUAUAUUUGAAAAGUUUGGUUGCAAACCUUCCUCUUAUAUGGACAGGAACCACUAGGAUCUCAGUGCCAACCAAGAACUGUUGGUAAGUUAAGUGAUGAACAUGUUCGUCUUCUGGGUAGUGGAGAAAUAGGUGGCGGCAAACUGGGAGGCCUUUUUGAGCAGCUUCCUGUUUUCAAAUAAAUUUACAAUGAGAGAAGGGGGAGAAAGUUGGGAGGUGGGGGAACCAUCGCUUACUUCACCAAAUUUGAUAAUAAAUUAGUAUCCAGAGUUCUAGGAAUACCUUUACAAGUUGAAUUCUGUAAAACUUCCAUGCUUUGUACACUUUAGCAAGGCGAGCAAAUUGUGAUAAAGUUUGGUGGUUUGAGUAGAAUUGGCUAUUGCUGGAUGGCUUGUUCCCCUGCAUGGAAAAGACAGGUUUUUUAACUUACUUCAUGGGUCCGGAAGACAGUGGUGAAAGCAUUUAGCUCCAUCCAACGCAAAAGCAACUCUUCACUUCUUGUAUAGUUUAUAAAAGGUUUAAGCAUGUCAUGCAUUACCUGCAACCAAAAUGCUGAAACGGGAACAUUAUAAGUCCUUAGCUUAUCCCAAGUAUCGCGUACGGUUUCUGUGCCACCUUGCAUUCCAACCACAGCACCAGAUAUUAUCCACUCAGGAAGCACGGGAGGCCUCCCAAUGGUUUCUGUAAAAUGUUCAACGAGCUCAGAAGGUGAAUUCCCGUGCAAUAUCCGUCCUUGAACUGAGGUCCCAUGUAUCUGCAAGCCCCAGCAUACAGAAAAUGGGAAACUGCAUGUUUAAGAUCUCGAAUGAGCCCAUUAUUUAUAAAAUGGAAUUAUGGGCUUUUCCCUUUUAAAUUCUUAUUUAUGUUUUUGCAAAAGUCCCCCUAGUUAAUUACUAUUGACACCAUGUGAGCUUAUCCUUUUUUUUUUUUUUGGGUAUUAUUUAAGAAUAUGAAAUUCAUUACCAAUUACUAAUCCAAAUAGUUCUUCUAUAACAUCAUGAAAA